rnacentral:rRNA from 1 species
AGUGAACGCUGGCGGUAGGCCUAACGCAUGCAAGUCGAACGGCAGCACAGUAAGAGCUUGCUCUUACGGGUGGCGAGUGGCGGACGGGUGAGGAAUACAUCGGAAUCUACUUUUUCGUGGGGGAUAACGUAGGGAAACUUACGCUAAUAACGCAUACGACCUACGGGUGAAAGCAGGGGAUCUUCGGACCUUGCGCGAUUGAAUGAGACGAGGUCGGAUUAGCUAGUUGGCGGGGUAAAGGCCCACCAAGGCGACGGUCCGUGGCUGGUCUGAGAGGAUGAUCAGCCACACUGGAACUGAGACACGGUCCAGACUCCUACGGGAGGCAGCAGUGGGGAAUAUUGGACAAUGGGCGCAAGCCUGAUCCAGCCAUACCGCGUGGGUGAAGAAGGCCUUCGGGUUGUAAAGCCCUUUUGUUGGGAAAGAAAAGCAGCAGGUUAAUACCCCGCUGUUCUGACGGUACCCAAAGAAUAAGCACCGGCUAACUUCGUG